AUUUUUUAUUUGAUGAUAGUAAUUAUGAAUAUUACCUUGCUGAGUGUUGGACAUUUUUGUAUUACUAUAAAUAUUCUUGCACUUUGUUCUGAGAUGCAGUUAAGUCACUUGGAAACAGUUUGAUCAUUUUGGUAUUUCUUUUAAGAUUUGUUAGGAAGGACUAGAGCAGCAGUUAGUCUAGGGCUUACUAUUCCCCACUACUGAGGCAAAACCCUUCAGAGUACGUACUCAAUGUCUUGUGAAGCAUGAGGUUUUCCAGACUGACUGGUCGGAAGAGGCACUAUUCUGGCCCUGUGUGAGCACUAGCUAUGAUUUCCUCUAGUUCCGGUGGUGCUUCCCUUAGCCUUGUAUAUUUCUUCACAAGCAUGCAUGGAUCACUGCAAAUCUCAGGAGUUCUCUGUGAAGUUCUCUCCUUUACUACUUUGCCCUGGACAUUCUAACUACCUUGGUCUCUCUGGACUCUUAGUCCAGUUUUCUCAAUUCAGAGAGCCCAGCAGGCUCUACUUGGGUUCUCUUCCCUACGCUCUUCCCUAUGAUGCCCUCUUGUGCUAGGGCAAUCAUAGACUUCUUCACCCUGCUUCUUUCCCAUCUUCUGGCUGCUGUUGCUUGAGGCCCAGUGUCUUGAAAACCACAGUGUCAUAUAGUGGUGGUGGUGUUGUUAUUGUUAUGGCUGUUUCAGGCACAUGAGAAAAAUCCAGUCACUAUUGCUCCAUAUUGCCCAGAAACAGAAGACUAUGGCCUGAGGGGUCAUCUUGAAGCCUGUUUCUAGGUUGGUGUAUUCUAGAAGAGAGGGAGACGGAGGAGGAGGAGAAAAGUGAGACAAGAGGGAAGCGAGAGGGAGAAGGAAAGAUGAUGCCACAGAGAAGGGAAAUAAUAUCAAGAGGGAAAUCUUGAGAGGGCUGUAAGGAUGCGAUCUAGGCCCCUCAUGGAGGGUCUGAAUUCACCAGGAACUGGAAUACUUCUCCACUGUGAUGAGAGGAAAGUCAGGUAUAUGGGUUCAGAUGUAACUUAGUAGAAAGAGUGGUUGGGAGAAGUGCCUUAAUUUGGCCUCCUCCAGCAGACCCUGAGACAAGGAGUUGAGUGCAAGUCAUUCCUUUAGGAAGGGAUCCCAGGAACUACUAUUAUGGGAGUGGGGAAGUGAGACAUUAUCAAGCAUGUCACCACGGUGAGUAACUGAGGCUUAAUGUGGGGGAAAAUGCCACGGAGUUAUCCUAAAUUAGGAGAGCUCGAUUAUUUUACAUCAGCUUCCAUUAGCCCUUGGUUGACUGAGGGGCAUUAAUUUCCCAGCACUUCAGCGCCUUGUACAGGGCAAAGUAGCCCCAGUGGUCAGAGAAAGGCAUCAGGCAGAGAAGCAGAUGCUGGCAGAUCAAGUCCAGCCAGCCUGCCCCCAAAUGAGAAGGGGUGAAGGUGGGGCAGCUACAGCAUCUCAGCACGUGCUGCAGGGACCGCUGCUGCUUGUGACACAAUAUUUCACCCAUACAAUAUGAUGCCAGGGCUUCAUGGGUACAGGGAGAUGGAGCAGAGAGGAAACGUUGGUCUCUGCCAGGGUGUCCCAAGUGAGACUACAUGGGCCUCACGUGCUACAGCUGUUGCUAAUCAGCCUUUCCUGUUAACACAGGCACGCACAUGUGUGCACACACACAAUUAUUUUCCCCACAGCACUCCCACGGCCUUGAGAGUCCACAAGGCUGUAUACGGCACAGAGCACAGAUAUAAGGGGAGACAGCAGAAAGGGAUGAGAAGCGCACUAGACACAGAGCCAUGAGCUCUGCCUCCACCUCCUGGGAACCCUGUGAUGUCAGGAAUUGGUGUCCCAGUCGGUAAAAGGGUGCUAACUUACCUCCUAGGAUUAUUGUGAGAAUGAAGAGAAAUAGGUGACCAUUUUAUAAACUUUAGAGGAAUUAUUAUCACCAGAGACCACCUGGUACAUGUAAGAAGCCCCAGAGAAAGAUAAGCUUCCCAGUAAAAUCCACUCAAGAUCACAAGAAAACCUCUGGGAGGUCAACUUGAUACAGAAAGAUUUGAUAUGGAAAGGGUGGUCUGUGGUCUGGUCGCACCAGCAUUGCCCAGGUUCUUGUUAAAAAUGCAGAACUCCGAUCCCAGCCCACAGAGGAAUCUGAGUCUACUGGAUCGGAACCUGUAUUUUAACAAGAUCCCUAGGGGACUCUGGUGCACUUGAAGCCUGGGACUCACUGGCCCUGUGCUUGGGGUCUGGGCCUGCCUCUUUCCCUGACUUACCCCUCUGAUUUCUGGGGGCAGCUCAGCUCCCUCCACCGUACAGUUAGGGCUGUGGUCCGGAUCUGCUCCAGGGAGAGGCCAGCAAAGCUCUGUAUUCUCAUUGCUGAGCUGAAAAAUUAUUAUAACUAUGCUCAUCAUAAUGAUUCUGAAGAAACGAGAUGGUAGAAUCAUACUGAGGAAAGUAUGAUAAUACAUUUCUGAAAUUUACCAUCAAAAAUAGUUAAAAUUAACAACAAUAACAACAACAAUAAUGUCCUGUUGCUUGAUUUAUUUGAACGGCAGCAAUCCGGAAAAGUCGUCAGUGCACAAUGACUCAUUCCCUGAGGGUUCUGAAUAAGAUUCUAAAAUCACCACCCAUGGUUUUCCUGCACUUUGAAGUGACAGAACAAAUGACAGCAGAGAUGGGCACUGUCUCCUGAGUCCAGAAUGGAUGACACACACGCGUCUCACAACAAUAACAUCCUCAUCUAAAAACAGCCUGAAAGGAGGUUAUUUCUGGGCUUUGCUUGUUAGUAAGCAUUUGUGCACCUGUGGGCAGAGACCUAAGACCAAGAUGGUUUGGGUUUUUUUUCUAUAUAGUCAAUCAACAAACUUAUUGAUGCCUUUUCCAUGCCAGGGCCUGUUCUAAGGACAUGAGAUUAAUUCAACCCUCAGAGGAAAACCCUCACAGAGCAAAAAUUGGGAUAACAAAUGAGAAAAGCCAUAAAUGAGAGACAGAUGAGGAGGCUAAGGGAGAAAGACUCUGGGGAAGUGUCCCAAGAGGUGACCACGGAGAUGAUGGGUGAGAGGGAAGUGCACUGCAUGACGAGGGAAGAGCCGGCACAAGGCCCGGAGGUGGAAGCAGCUUGCAGGGUUCUUCUGGCAGAACAACAAUCUAAUGCUAUGGAAGAAAAAUUCAAGACAAGUAGCCUUUUGGAUUACAUAACAACCUAUGGGAAACUCCACAACCCCUGACAAUGCUUUGUUGGCAUCUGGGAGUGUAACAGCCUCUAGAUGACUGCUCUGAGCUCACCGCCCCCAGUCACCUCCCAACCCAAGCUCAGUGUCCCUCCCCACCAUUGAUGCUUUGCCUGUCUCAUUCUUCCCCACCUUUCUCCACAUGAUAAAUUACCCAUCUUCCAGCCUCAGCUCUGGAAUUGCCUUUUUCUUGAUGCUUCCACCUUACUGAAAAAACUGACCCUUCCUCUUCUCAGCAUGAAUGGGCUGCCAAGGAUAGGGAGUAACAAGCAGAGAGAGUAAGUUGAAAGGAAAGGGGUUGAUCUUUGUUUGGGACAACUUGAGGCUGACGUACUUUUAGAAAAAUUCAGUCAGGGAUGUCCCAAGGAAGUAAGUUUUGGCUCAAAGAAGAGAGCAAUUGCAGAUGUGUAUUUGAGAGCCAUCAUAAAAUUGAAGCAAAUGCAUUUACCUACCUACCUGCUUCUUCCUCUUCUAACAGAUGAACCCAGCACCUCUACUAGAUUCUGUCCCCUCCCAUUAUUCAAGGACAGUGCAACAGCAAUUCUCUCCUCUCCUGCAUCACAAACUUUCUCCUCUCCAUUGGAUCAAUCCCAUCAGGAAUCCCAAUUUCUUACAUUAAACAAACAAUUCUUGAUCCCACUUCCCUUUCCAGCAACUGCCCCAUUUCUCUGCUCCUCUUUACAGUGACUCAUGAAAUUAUUUGUACUCUUGGUCUCCAAUUCUCUCCUCCCAUUCUCCUCCAACUCCACCAAAACUGCUUUUCCCAAGAUUGCCAAUGACUUCCACAUGGCAAAUUCCAUGAGUCCUCAUGUUACUUGACUUAGCAGCAAAAACACUGUCUUUACCUAUUUCUGAGACACCACAAUCUCCAACUUUACCUCCCAUCCUCUGGCUACUUCUGCUCGGUCUUUUCUGGUUCUGCCUCAUCUUCCUGACCCCCAGGUCCUUACCACCCCAAGGCUCAGUCCUGAGACCUCUUUUCUUUUCUGUCUACUUGACUUCUCUCCUUGAUAUCUAGUGGCAUCUUGAAUUUAAUAUAUCCAAAACUGAGCCCUUGAUAUUCUACUCUCCAAAUUAGAUCUUCCCAGUCUUUCUCAUCUCAGUUAAUAGCCAUUCUCUUCUUCCAAGGUGUUCAGAACAAAAACCUUGGCAUUAAUAGUAACGUCAGCAAAAUGGCAGGGUAGGCAGCUUCACAGAAAUACCAAAAAACAAGCAGAAACUGUCAGAACCAACUUUGUCAGAACUCCAGAAAACAGUCAAAGGUUUACAGCAACAACUGAACACUGAAUCAAGAAGAGGGCAACUCCUGACUGCAGGGUGAUUACCAGGGACUGGGGCAGGCAGGAAUGAGGAGUUAUUGUUUAAAGAAGUUUGUCUGGGUUGAUUAAAAAGUUCUGGAGAUGGACACUGGUGAUGGUUGCACCACAACAUGAAUGCGCUUCAUGUCACUGAACUGUACACUUAUUAAUGAAAAUAACUAAAAUGGUAAACUUUAUUAUGUAUAUUUUACCACAAUAAAAAAAUAUGAUACAGGCAAGCUGUGUGGCAUUACUACUCCUUGCCCUGGUCCCGGCUUGGCAGCAGUCUUAAAGACGUCAGCCCACGUUCUAUCGUGGAUCCUGGUCCCUCUUUCUAGAAGGGGCAGAGGAGACAUCAUUCUCAAAUUAUUGUGUAGGUCUGCUCUAAUCUGUCUCAGGGCUAUUCAAAGGACUGAUGCAAGACAGUCUGCUUUGCUUAAGGCAGAAUGUACCCAGGCCAGAAAAGUAGCAGACAGUACUCUAUAAACAUUAUAAGGCUGACAAACAAAAACAAAAACAAAAACAAAAAAAACCUGCAGAUGCCUGAAGCAAAAGAUUACAUUUUGGCUGCAACAUAUAAUAGACUGCUGAAAGCCUAGAAGAAAAAGCCAAGGAGAGUGUUUCUUUGGGAAAUUAAAGGACUCCAAAGCACUCUUGUAUAUGGAGGAAUUUAGAAAGCUUUGUCAAAGACCUCAAACUUUCACUUCAGGUUGGUCCGUAGGUUCAGUGGAAGUCUGCGUAAGUGUUGAAGGAGAGCCAGAGAACAGAAGCAACCUGCAAAGACUGAGAGAAGUGUUUUUGUUUGUUUAGGUCCUGUCACUCAAAGAAAUCUGUCAAAACCCUAGUUAGACACAAGCUAAGGAAGAGCAACUUCAGUGACCAGUGACCACACAUGAAAAGGAAUACAAUCUAUGAAAAAAUAAAUAGAAAAAGCCACUAGACAAAUGGACUACUACAGCCUCCGACCAAAUAAUCAACCAACUAAACCAACUAAAAGCCCAGAAAAACCUAGAGGAGAGUUAAAAGACAAUUAUUUACAUGAUUUAAAAGAUGAAUGAAUAAAAAAAUUAUAAAUCUAUGUUAUUGGUUACAUAUGCAUAAAGAUAUAAUUCGUGACAACAUAAAAGGGGGACAAAGAUACACUGGAGCAGAAUUUUUUGUAUGCUAUUGACGUUAAGUUGGUUUCAAUUCAACUAGUUUGCUAUAAAUUUAUGAUGUUCAAUAUAACCCCCAUGGUAACCACAAAGAAAAUACUAAAUAUCUUUAAAAUAGCCACAAAAGAAAUGAGAAUAGAAUCAAAACAUUUCAUUACAAAAAAAAAAAAAAAAAAACACAAAAUUGACCAACACAGAGAUUAGGAGAAAAAUUUUUUAAAGAAAUAAAAAUAGAUUAAUUUUAAAUAUCAACACAAAAGACAGCAAUGAAUGAAAUGGAGGAUUUUAAAAGGUAAAAGACAUAUGAAAAUCAACUAUCAAAUUGUAGAAGUCUUUCUUUAUCAAUAGUAUAUUAAAUGUAAAUUGAUUAAAGCCUCCAAUCCAAAACAAGAGAUGGCAGAAUGGAUUAAAAAACCAUGAUCCAAUAUGCUGCCCACAAAAGACAUUAAUAAAAACAGAAAAGGGUCCAGGCGCGGUGGCUCAUGCCUGUAAUCCCAGCACUUUGGGAGGCCAAGGCGGCCGAAUCAUGAGGUCAAGAGUUUGAGACCAGCCUGGCCAACAUAGUGAAACCCCAUCUCUACCAAAAAUACAAAAAAAUUAGCCAGGUGUGGUAGUGGGCGCCUCUAAUCUCAGCUACUUGGGAGACUGAGGCAGGAGAAUCACUUAAACCCGGGAGGCAGAGGUUGCAAUGAGCUAAGAUCGCGCCACUGCACUCCAGCCUGGGUAACAGUGCGAGACUCUGUCUCAAAUAAAUAAACAAAUAAAAAUAAAACAAAGAAAAAAAUCCACAGUUUCAACUGACGCAAAAAAAAAAAGCAUUUGACAAAAUUCAGCACCCUUUUAUGAUGACUCUCAGAAAACUAGAAAUGCUUCGUUUUCACCUUCUGUUCUACUACUCCCUUCCUCCCCAUUCACUCUAAUCCUGUCUCAUUCUUCCGUCUUUGAACACGCGAGGCACAUUUCUUGGGGCCUUUGCACUUAUUCUGUCACCUGAAACACUUUCCACAGACAUCAGCCCGGCUAGCUCUCUCAAUUCCAUUUUUUUGUUGUUGUUGUUGCCUUUUCAGUAAGGCCUUCCCUGUCUAACCUAUCUAAAUUUUCACAUGCAUCUUGGAAUUUCAUGUUCUUCUUCCCUACUUGUUUUAUUAUCGCUAAGAUACUAUGCAUUUUUAACUUAUACUUAUCACCUGUUUAGAAUGUAAGCUACAUAGGGCAGGUACUUUUUUAGUAUUUUGUUCACUGCUAUAUCCCUAGUGGCUAGAACACUGCCUGAGACACAUGCACUCAAUAAAUAUUCAAUGACUUAAUUAAUCCAUACCUAGGUGGAAGUUGAAUCUAUAGCACAGAUGAAAGUCCCAGGAAGACUGUGCUUAGUGAGAAGGGAUGUGGGUUGAGUACAAACCCUGGUGAAUACCACCAUGCAAGAAAAUAGCGGUUGAUCCUGUGGACCAAAUAGGAACAGUAUUGGGUUGAGUGAGAGAGUGAAUCUUAUCAAGAUUAUUUAUGAUUUCACUAAACCCUUUUCUAACUUAAACAUUAAGCCUGAGAUUUAAUUCAACAGCAUAAGAGAAAAAGAACUAAGAAAGCUCAGUGUCUAUGAUUUUAGGAUGAAAAAAACUUUUUUAGAACGACUCCCUAAAAUAAUGCAUCUCAAGGACUCUCUGAGAGGCACAUUGUGUGGGACUACAAAGAAACCCACCCACUGAGUGAUGGUGGACUCUUGGAAUUCCCAUCAGGUAUCACACAAGGAACUUGAUGACUUCAAAAAAUAAAGUGUGAAUUCUUACACCAAAAGAGGAUCAUUAUGCACUGCAAAUAAUUCAUAGCAGGUAACCAAUGGUCAUCAAGUCUUGCUUACUUAAAGCUUACGAACCUGCAAGCAGAGGCCGCAGACUUUGUUUUCAAUAUCCUUUCUGGGAAAGGUCUUGCUUAUACAGUGCUUUUUUUUCACUCCACUUCCUCUUAUAUGGGAUUUAUGACACAUAAUUAAACUAAAAAAAAAAAAAAAGCCUGAAUCGAGCACCUCUGUGUAAAGGCACCCAAGGCUGAUUAGAAGACAUGUUAAUAGCCCAACACCGAGUUCCUCCAUCCUUCCAAGGGCCAGUCCUGUUUGGUAACAAAAACACUUCCUUCUAGAGAAGGUAGUAAUUCAUGGCUCAGCAUGAUGUCAUUAGCAUUUAAUCUGAGUUUUAGUACAUCAUUUAACUUCUUUGAACCCUCAGUUUUCUAUUUAUAAAGUAGGAGUGGUGUAAUUACUGGACUCAAAAAAUACUGAGCACCCGACUCUCACUGGCAUUUUUACGUGUACUGUUUCAUCUUGUCUUCAUAAUAGUCCCAUGGGGUUAGAAAUACUCACUUUUAUUAUGGAGAAACUGACUCGGAGAGGAAAUGUGACUUGCUAAAAUUCACAUGAUCAAUACACAGAAGAGUCUAAGGGUCAAAUCCAGACCGCCUGACUACUAUUUCCUUUGUACUAAGUCUCCUACCUUAGCAGGCUACUGUGAGAACCUCAAAAAGAAAUGUAAUUAAAAGCAAGUUUUCAAUUAUGAAGCUAUACUGUUUUAAUACUGCUAAGCAAUUUGUUACAUUAGAGAAGCAGAACUAGAACCUAACCUAGGAUUUUAAGGGUGAUAAACAUUACUUUUCUCUUAAGAUUAGUAGUAUUUCCUAUACUUCAAAAAUUCUCAAUUUAAAAUGAGAGAAAAAGAAAAUAAUUGGAAAAUGGGCAAGGAAGCUGAAGAGGUAUUUCUCUAAAGAUACAUGAAUGGCCAAUAUGCACAUGAAAAGAUGCUCAUCAUUAGCCAUCAGAGGAAUGGAAAUUAGAACCACAAUGGGGUAGCACUUUACAAUUCAUACAUGAGGAUGACUAGAAUAAAAAAGACAAACAGCAGCAAGUGUUGGCAAGGAUGUGGAGAAACUGAAACUCCUAUAGACUGCUGAUAUGCAGUCCCUGUGGAAAAGAGUCUGGCACUUGCUCAGAAGGUUAAACAGUCACUGUAUGACCCAGCAAUUUCACUCCUAGGUAUAUACCCAUAAGAACUGAAAAUACGUAAAACUUGUACACAAAUUGUUCAUAGCAGCAUCAUUCAUAAUAGCCCAAAAGUGUAAACAAUGCAAAUAUCCAUCAGCUGAUAAACGGG
rnacentral:lncRNA from 10 species